rnacentral:lncRNA from 1 species
CCGUGUACAUUUAUUCCAGUGCUCAAUCAUUGUCCGUCUCAACCAAACCUAACAUGGCGGUGCGAAUUUCUGCUAGGUAUGCUUCUCCCUCCCAUCAACUCCUUCUGAUUAUUCAUAUAGAUAUGUUUUUCUCAUUUUUACUGAUGCCCUUUUCUUGCCAUAUCUUUGGGUGUUGCUUCCUACAGCCAUUUUGACCAUUUGCUUUGGAAGUAUUAAUUCAAGUCAGAAAGAACAGAUAAUUUGAGACUGUUUUUGUCUUCCCUACAAUCUGUUCAGGUCGAUCAUUUUUUCUGUCAUUAUUUUUUCUUUUCUUUGGCAGUGUACUUGGGUUAUUUCUUUCUCUGGAGCUUGGGCAUAUUGGUUGUCUGUUGGCUCUUUUUACUAGCAGUCUUUCCUUUUUAGUAUAUGGGAGAGAUUACUAGCUCACAUAUAUAGUUUAGUUAUUAAGUUUCUAAAUAAGUUCAGCCUUAGGAGUACAGAUUUUGUAUCUAUUGCUUAUUUAAUCCAUUGAGAUCUAUUCUCUCUGCUUCAUACAGUAUGUUUGCAUUUAACUUGAAAAUUGUAUGCUUACUUCAAAAUUGGGCUGUGACUUCUGCUGCUGAUAGAUUCAAUUAUGGUUUGGUUGCGUACUAGUCAAAAUGAUUUAUAUCGUAUCAUAAAUUUCAGGAACCGUAUCACAACAAAUCAUUGGCACUGUAGCUUCAGUGGACAUUUAUGUUGAAUAUCCCCUCACUGGACAAGGUUGGAUUUUUUUGUAUACAAACUCUCCUCUCAGCUGCUCAGGUAGUUCUUCUUUCUCAUUAUCAAUGAAUAAUCUGGUUACAAAAUAUGCUUGAAGAUUGCAACACAGAGAGAUUGCCUGGCAGAGUAAAAUAAUUAGGAGCUUCAGAUUGGACCCUUCAAGCAUUAGUGUUGUUAAUAUGUUAAUUAUUAGAUUAUGUUACUAGAUUAGAAGAACUCCCUGAUAUAUGUAUCUAUAGGAUUCUGUGAUAUUUGAUGCAAAAUGUUGAUGGCCAGGCACUAUACUAAGCCUGAGAAAAAUUUCCAUUUUUUCUUUUUGUGGCAGUACCAGAACCUAUAGAGGAUGUUAGCUUCUGAUUGGACCCUUGCUGAUUCAUUUCGACCACAGUAUCAGAAGUUCAGAACCCAGGUUGGUACAACACCACUUUGCAAUUUUUUUCCGUGGUACAAAGUCGCUUAGCUGCAGCAUGAGGUCUGCUGAACUUUCCCCAACAUGCCUUUGGUUCCUACACACUGUUGCAUUUGUCCAACAGUGCCAUGUCUGUCUGGACACAGGUGAAUGCAGUGGACACUUUGAGAUUAAGGCCACCAACGGCAUAUGCCAAUGACGUCCAUUAACAACCUGCCCGAGGUCUGGAUUCACCGAGCACAAUCGGAGACGUGGUCUUUUGCCUGCUGGUCUGGAAACUAUACAAUUUCUCUGAAACCCACUUAUCCUCUAAUGCAUGAAUCUCUAUGC